CGAGGCCAAAGUUAGAUGAUUCGAAACUCGGAAAUGUGAAGGAGGCGGGGUUGGACAAUAAACCAGAUGGGAAUUUGAAUAGACUCGAUCCGGUUACUAGGAUGGUUGCCGGAGUAAGAGAACUGGUUGGAGUUUUGAAAGAUGAGGAAGCUGCAGGAUCUGAAAUGCAUAGGUUUUUACGGUUCCUUACUGCACAUCCGAUUAUUUUACUUAAUUUCUUG
rnacentral:misc_RNA from 1 species